ensembl:lncRNA
AGGUGACCCUGAAGGUGCCUUACUAUGUAUGAGCAAGCUUCACCGAGCAAUAUUCUGGAAAAGACCUGAAGACCGCAUCUCCAACCUCAGGAACAGUUGCUGGAAGGAGACGAAACAGACAUGAGUCCUGCAACUCUAUGAUGGCGCUGGAAGAGAUGGCUUCCGUUUUACAGGCACCUAACCAAUUGUGGUAUUGUGUUUUUUGCGUUAUUUGUAACUUAUUUUGUACAUAAUGUUACUGCCACCGUUUCUUCCUCACUACUGUACUUUGUUUCUCCUUAAUUAUUUGUUUAUAUUUUUUGUUUGUUUAAGUUCAAUUUUUCUAUUAUGUUUUAUUUCUUGUUAAACAUUUUUUUACUUCAGUUUAUUUUAGUACAUUUUUCUUAACUGCAUUGUUGGUUGAGGGCUUGUAAGUAAGCAUUUCACUGUAAGACUACACCUUUUUGUAUUCGGUGAAUGUGACAAAUUACAUUUUGAUUUGAACAAUGGUGGAUGCGUCGCCAGACCAAUGCAGUGAAAUAAUUCUGACGUUUUAAGAUUUUUGAUAAAGUGCAUAAUUAUAUUUUUCAAUAUAUUGGAUACAUUUUUGUGUGUUUUUGUCUUCCAGAGGAAGGCUUGCUGUACCUUGCUCAUCAUUUCGGAGACUGACUUGUACCAAAGGGCUCAGCAGAUGGGAACGCCUACGACUGUCAGAGAUUCAGAUCACGAUACAGGGAUAAGAACCCACAAACAUACAGAAGGGUACGUUGUAAUGGUGGGCACCAAUAUCUAAAAUUCCCACAGACAUACACGCAUAUAAAUUAAUGCUACACACAAAUCACAAUUGCUGCUGCCAGACUCUUAUUAUGAUUGCUAAAUACUGCACAAUUUAAACACUUGCCCCCAAAUCCCCACCUUCCCCAAAACACAUGUAAAUAUUGGACUAUAAAUUGCACCUUACUGUAUUAUUCUUAUGCUAAAAUGUUUAUUAUAUUCUACUGAGCCAUUUACUUCAUGUUCCUAUUCUUAUCUUUUAUUAUUUCUUAUUGUUGUUGCAUUGUCCAGAAAGAAGAUGCAAGUAAGCAUUUCAUUGGCUGGUGUAUACCAUGUGUAUCCUGUAGAACUUGAAAAUAAAACUUGAAAAAUAUAUCAGUAUCGCUUGAUACUGUUUUGACCUCAAUAUUCUUUGAUUUAGGUUUGAUAUCGAUAUGAUCAAGACAUAUCACGCUAUUGGUUUAUCCUUCCUGUUAACCUAUGCUAUUAUGUAAAAAAAAAGCAUAAAUGACUGUUCCUGCAUGCACAAAAUCCUUUCGCAGAUGUUCACAUGCUCUCAACUUAAUAUACUUAACGUGAGCAUUUGUCUCCAAUAAAAAAAAUGCUUGGACAUGUGGUGCGGCAGGUAGCCUAGUGGAUAGUGUUGGGCCAGUAACCGAAAGGUCGCUGGUUAGAAUACCCAAGCUGACAAGGUGAAGUCUGUCUGUGCCCUUGAGCAAGGCUCCAGGGGCGCCGUACUACCAUGGCUGACUCUGUAAAACACAUUUUACUGCAUCUGUGACAAUACAUUUGUUUUUUUCUGGUUUCAGCAAUUUAGUUGAUUUGAUAAUGUGAAACCAACCGGACCAAAUGUAAAUGAAAUACUACAGCUCAGAACUGUGUGUGAAAUGCCCUUACUUGCCUGCUGAUAGAUCAUUGACAGAGGAUGGGUUUCCCAUUGCACUGUUACAAUAUUUUUUAUUAACCAAUGUGUUAUUAAAAAAAUGUAACUGAUAGAGGCCCAUGAUUAACAUUUUUGAUGUGUGCUUGCAUGACCUGCUGCCCAUCUGCUCUGAUUUGAACUUCAAUGGAAUAGGUUCUGUUGUUGGAGAUCCAUUUGAUGUUUUGAUUGCUCCAGAUUUAUUUUCCUCCUUGGAUUAUUUGUUACUUGAAUCGAAUGUGAAGAAAUCAAUAGAGAACGCUCUAUUCAAGCCAACACACACAAACUGGAGCAUAAGAUUUGAGCAGCAAUUAGAGAGAGAAAAUGCCUUGCAGACAUAUGGGCUGUGGGGGGACCCCCCCCUCUCUCUCUGCACACUCCUGCGGACAGACUUAACUUCCUGUAGAACUGUGAAACAAACUGACAAGGUGAUGGCUGGUUUAAAUACAAACACUAGUGUUUCUCUUUUUUUAAAGCCUUGAAAUGAAUUUUUGAAUAUACUUUUGAGAUACUGCUCUUUCCCAUAUUAUGCUUUGAUAAAUAUUUAGAAGAACCAACUCAAGGCCUUUAAGGAUAGACAUCUGAGCCAGUUUUUAUAACUUUUAUAGUUAGUACCUGUAUAUACCAUACAUUUUUAUUACAUGGGCUAGAUGGAAUUAUGUAGCUAAUGUAAUUAUAUAAUUGAAUGUACCCUGUGGAUUUGCUUGUAGCUUGGUGGAUUGCAAAUUUAUUGCACAAAUGAAUCUGUAUUUAUUCAAAUUAAACAAAUAUCAAAUGUUUCUUUAUAAUCAC